ACGCUCGACACCUACGGGGGCAGCAGUGGGGAAUAUUGCACAAUGGGGGAAACCCUGAUGCAGCGACGCCGCGUGGAGGAAGAAGGUCUUCGGAUUGUAAACUCCUGUUGUUGGGGAAAAAGAGGAUGGUACCCAACAAGGAAGUGACGGCUAACUACGCGCCAGCAGCCGCGGUAAUCUGAGCGGGCUGGCAAGGC
rnacentral:rRNA from 1 species